UAAGGCCAGUACUCAGAAUACAUGCACUCACCCUGGUCUUUUCUAAGAUAUUUCCUUAAUGUUACCUCUCUGCAAUGCAAUAUAACUAGUUUUUUAUUUAAAAAAAUAAUUUUCCAGAGACCGCAGAUAAUCUUUAGUUUGACCUGAUAGCAAGAGAUGACAAACAAACUAAGAUGGAUGUUUGUUAAUGAUUCACAGUGAACCAAAUAAAUAAAAUGGUUGUGACAGCAAGCUCGCCCUAAAGACAGUUGUGAAUUCUCUCAGGACCGUUUGCCAAGGCUGUGGAUUACAGUGACGGCACCCAUUGAAUUCCAUUAUAUGAAUCACAGAGGACCACAGAAAUCUUCUUUACUGUUUUACUGAAGAAAAAAUGUCACCUGCAUGUUGGAUGGCCUGAGGACAGUAACCCUGUGUGCCUCCUCACCCCGAUCCUUUGAGUCUUCUAUUGUGGCGCGUUCCCCCGCCCUUUGUGUUGAAGAUAAGCCCUUGGCUGUCUGAGUGGCAGGGCAGUGAAAGAGAGCAGGAAGAAAUGGUUUCAUGGCUGAAAUGACGGCUUGAAUUAGCGUGUCUGAAAUGUGCAUCAUCUGCUAACACUUGGACAUGGUGUUGCUGUGGCUCUGGGUAAAGCCUCAACCGCCGCCUGCACUCCCUUUACCCAUGAUCCUCUAGCUGGAAGCGCCAGGCUCUGUCACUUUGAUGGACAUCUGCCUGGGCCUUCCAGGUCUCCGUGAGCCAAAGACAUGAGCCAUUCUGACAGAAUGUAGGGUGUCAUGCGCCCAUCUGGCAAAAAUCUGAAACAAAGCGCCAGUCCUACUGUAACGUCUACCAGUGUAAUUAAUGAAACCGGACUACAGACAUUUAUGGUAGUUACACUGAUAUUCUGUUUUCUUCAUUUCAUUUUUUUAAGUAAUAUUUCUAACAACGGGUGUCAAUAAUUUUAGUAACUCUUUAUGUGUGUCAAUACCCAUCCAUUCCUUUCUCCUUACCACUUAUCCUCUUUAGGGUCACCUUUCCCAGCAUCUUUGGCCACACGCAGGGAAACACCAUUGGAUCCAAAUUUAAACAUGAAUUAGGGAUGCACUGUUAUUACAACUUAGUAAAUAAAUAAAAAUAUAAAACACAGACAACGGGUGUCAAUAAUUUUAGUAACUCUUUGUGUGUCAAUAUCCAUUCAUUUCUUUGGAUGGAUAUCAAAAACAGAAUGCUUUAAGUGAAUUCAGGCAAUAGUAGAUUAAUGUACAGUUUGAAAAAUGAAUAUUCAUUUUGAGAUUUGAAAAAACUAAAGUAUUACCUUUGCAAGCGUAAGGAAAUCAAAGGCAAUCAAAAUGUAAAAAUAGAGGAACUGAGUAGUUAACAAUUAAAUAUCAGUCAAUAUGCAUCUUUUUUUUUUUUUUUCUAGAAGAAAUAUACUUAUAGCUCAAAAAUCUGCCUAUAAAGGGAAACAUUUUAUAAAUAACUUAGAGAAAACAUACACUACCCUUCAAAAUGUUCUUGAAAAAGUCUCUUAUGCUCACCAAGGCUGAGUUUUAUGAUCAAAAAUAAAAAUAAACAGUAAUUAUGUGAAAUAUUAUUACAAUUUAAAAUAACUUUUUCUUUUUUUUUUUUUUUUUAUCCCUGUGAUGGCAAAUCUGAAUUACUUCUAUCUUCAGUGUCACAUGAUCAUUCAGAAAUCAUUCUAAUAUGCUGAUUUGGUACUCAAGAAACCAUUAUUAUCAUCAAUGUUAAAAACAGUUGUGCUGCUUAAUGUUUUUGUGGAAACCAUGGUACUUUUUUUUCAGGAAUUAAUGAACAGGAAGUUCAAAGAACAGUAUUUAUUGGAAAUAUAAAUCUUUUGUAACAUUAUAAAUGUCCUUACUGUCACUUUUGAUCAAUUUCCAUGUUCUUACUAAAUAAAAAAAAGCUAUUAAUUUCUUGUGUGUGUACUUUUUAUUUAUUUUGCUUGUUUUGUUCUUAUACUUAGGCCUAAUUCUCUAAAAGGAUAAUGCCCAUUUGACCUUUUUCGCUUUUUACCAUUUAUUUUUCAUAUUGUACUAUCAGUGUUCUUAAAAGUGUAACGGCAGCAACCCACUCAUCAGCCAGCGGACCACACAUCUACACACUGGCCCCCCUCUUUACUGCUUCUUCCAUCUGAGUAAUGGAAACUGCAGCCCACUGACAGAGGAAGUGAAUCUGGGCCUGUGAUCCACAAAAACUACCAUCAGCUCCUUCCAAAUACAUAUAAGAGCAGCAAUGAAAACACUCCAGCCUGCAACCCUUCGAUAAAUGGGAGGAAAUCCCGGACAUGUCGAGCGUAUUAGAGGAGUACUUGAGGUUUCUGUUAAAUUUGGAUCGCUCCUAGCUGGAGAAAUGCGAUGCUAUUUAUUAGAGAUGACCAAAGCCAUAUGGAAGCGAUCAUCGGCCUCAUGCACAGAGGCAAUUUGAAAGAAAAACGGCAGUGCUAAUGAGGGUCGUCCUGAUGGUUUUAUGUUCUCAAUCCCACUGUGCUUGAUCUGUUACUGUAUAAAUGCAGACCAUAAUUACAAUUGCUUGUAUACAGCACAGUGCGUGAAGCACCCAAGAGCCUGCGUUUGUGUUCGUCGCUACUCAAAUUUUAGGCAUAACAAAUAGCAGGUGUACGCUUAUGUGAAAGCGCAUUGUUCCUGUGUGGUUGGCCAGCUGCAAAUACUUACCACUUACAAGCUUUUUAUCCCAGUACCAUUCAACACUGUUGACUAGAGUGAGUGUAAUGGCUGUAUAAAUCGCUCAAAUAUUAGUAUUUAGCAU